ACGCUCGACACCUACGGAGGCAGCAGUGGGGAAUAUUGGGCAAUGGAGGCAACUCUGACCCAGCAACGCCGCGUGAAUGAUGAAGGUCUUCGGAUUGUAAAGUUCUGUGACGGGGGACGAACACAAUGACGGUACCCCGAUAGCAAGCCACGGCUAACUACGUACCAGCAGCCGCGGUAAUCUGAGCGGGCUGGCAAGGC
rnacentral:rRNA from 1 species